rnacentral:rRNA from 1 species
UCAAGUUGAACGGAUGACUUAGUGGCGGACGGGUGAGUAACGCGUGAGGAACCUGCCUUUCAGUGGGGGACAACAGUUGGAAACGACUGCUAAUACCGCAUAAUAUAUACGGACCGCAUGAUCUGUAUAUCAAAGAUUUAUCGCUGAAAGAUGGCCUCGCGUCUGAUUAGAUAGUUGGCGGGGUAACGGCUCACCAAGUCGACGAUCAGUAGCCGGACUGAGAGGUUGAACGGCCACAUUGGGACUGAGAUACGGCCCAGACUCC